rnacentral:misc_RNA from 1 species
GUGAAUCAUCGAAUCUUUGAACGCAUAUUGCGCCCCUUGGUAUUCCGGGGGGCACACCUGUUCGAGCGCCAUUCGACCCUCAAGCAUUGCUUGUUGUUGGGAGAGGUCCUUGGGGGACCCUCCCGUAACUCGUAGGCGGUUACCGCCCGCGCCUCCAGCGUAGCAAGCUCACGCACUCGCUCGGGGACGGUCCGUAACCAUGUCUAAAACAAACCCUUUUUCAAAGGUUUGGCCUCGGAUCAGGUGGGGAUACCCGCUGAACUUAAGCAUAUCAAUAAGCGGAGGA